GUCCUCUGGUCCCUCGGUCAUCUGGUCCCUUGCUUCCCCGUCCCUUGCUUCCCUGGUCCAUUGGUUCCCUGGUUUCUUUGUUCCUAGGUCAGCUGGUUGGGUUUUUUCAACAGCCUCCCAGUUGGCUGUCACCUUCCACGUGGCUGUCAACCUCUCUCAAAGUAAAAGCUGGUCAUCACAUCUUUCCUUAGAACACUGCUUUGAUCUCCAUCACCUUCAGAAGGAAAUCCAGCCUUGGUAACUGGUCUCCUGAGACUGUGGAGAGCCUGGCCCCGAACUUCACCCAUGGUGCUGCUGCACCCCGCCUUGCUCAUGGGCCCAGUGUCUCUUCUGGGGGAACCUACCCACUUUCGGGGCCCUCAGCCACAUGGUGGAGUCCAGCCAGACGGGGUUCCAUGCUCACCUUUUAUGCUGAAGCGAGAGGAGAAAACUGUCGAAUCAGCGAUGCCACCCCACGGGGAUGCGACCCUGGAGAGUGACGCCUGUCACCCUCAGGCAGAAGGGGGAGGCCCCCUUGCACCAAGACAGAGUGAGGCCCACACACAGAGGGAAGCGCAGCUGCAGGGUGGAGAAGGAACAGAGAGAUCCAACAGCACUGAAACUCUGGACCCAGCCGACCCUGACACCCGCCGGAGCCUGAGCUCCCCGAGUAGUGAGCCGACUCUCCUUCUGUUAAGCAGGUACAGGCUAUAUGUGUAUCGCCUGCCAGCGGGAGUGCCUGCCACUGCUCUUCUGAGCUCCCAGCUGCAGGAGCCCUCCUACAGUGGGGAUGCCCAUGCCUCUUUCACCCUGCGGGCCUUGCACACCCUCACCUCUCCUGGUGGACUUGCUCACCCUUGGCUGAUGUCCUUCCCAGCCCCCCUGACCUGCCGUGCUCUGCCUUCUCAGCCUGGGUUCACCACUCCACCACACCCCUCGACGUGCUGCACCAUGAAGUCUCUGCUGUGUGGCUCCCCCUCCCUUCCUUAGCUUCGAUACCAAGCGCACAGUCAGUGGUAGUUACGAGGCCUGUACUGAUACUCUUCUGUCUUCCGUUCAUUUCUGUCUGCAGUGUACAACAAAGUGCAUGUUUCUAUUAGAGUGUGACCACAAGCCAUAUUAUCUCUGCCCCCAUCAGAGUCAACAGGAUCUGCUGGGCUCCACUGGAAAGUGCAAAGUCUGAAGAGCAGGGUUUGAUGGUGAGGGGGAAGGAGAGGGCAGACGAUGUAAGUAACAGAUUUUAAGAUUAAAAACCAAAACGACAGGGCAGUGAGAACUCAAAGGAACUAUUUGAAAAGGGUGGGGACGGGGAGAGAAAACAAGCCUUCCUGAGUCAUGAAUUAGAGUGAAGCUCAAUAAAGUUUGGUGCUUUCAAACUGUGGUGUUGGAGAGUGGUGGGACUCCUGAGAGUCCCUUGGACUGCAAGGAGAUCCAACCAGUCAAUCCUA
rnacentral:lncRNA from 1 species